rnacentral:rRNA from 1 species
UACAGAGGUGGCAAGCGUUGUUCGGAAUUACUGGGCGUAAAGGGCGCGUAGGCGGCCUACUAAGUCAGACGUGAAAUCCCCCGGCUUAACCUGGGAACUGCGUCUGAUACUGGAAGGCUUGAGGAUGGGAGAGGGAUGUAGAAUUCCAGGUGUAGCGGUGAAAUGCGUAGAUACCUGGAGGAAUACCGGUGGCGAAGGCGGCAUCCUGGACCAUUACUGACGCUGAGGCGCGAAAGCUAGGGGAGCAAACGGG